AUAUUCACAUAUCUGCAUAAUUUUACAUAAUAUGUAUUUUACAUAAUAUUUCACUGGAUUUGAAAUAAAACUAUUAGACAUAUUAAUAUUAAUAAUUAAUAUUUGAAAUAAAACUAUUAGAAAGUUCUGGACUACAGAUAAAACAACCAAACAUCUGUUUCAGAAUACUUUCUGGAUCAACUGUUAUUGUUCUCCCUUCCACAGUGCAUAUACCCAUAUCUAUGCACCCAUCACCAUUGACAGCAGUUCCUCAGAUCUUGAGGAAGUAGAGAAACUGUCAGAGAAAGACAGUGAUGGACAUGAUGGGCUGACAGCUGCAGAGAUAGUGUCAAAUCUGGCACAAAGUCUUAAAAAAACAUCCUGUUGCAGAUUUAACAUUAACCGGGCGAAUGUCUGGGAUGGUGCCUUAAGAGGUUUCAGGCGAUCCUCAUUUGAUCCCACCUACAGCUUGAUGGUGAAAUUCACAGACGAUGCCGGGAUGACUGAAGAGGCCUUGGACAGCGGGGGGCCAACUCGAGAAUUUCUGACUCUUUUGAUGGACACCAUCAAAACGAGGAGGAUAUCUGAAGGCAAAGACAAUGCCAAAUAUCUCUCAUUUGAUAGCAAAGAUAGAGAAUGCCGCAUCACUGAGUGAACUCCAGGAGCUCACAGCAAAGAACUCAAGCAUGCUACAGACAGCUGGCUGCUACAGAUUCAUGAGGACUCUGGAAGAUAAGAAAAAAGUGAUAGAUGAUUACAUUCAAUGGUAUUUCAUCUACCAAAACCAUGUUUCCAUCCAGAGGUUCAAAGAGGGAUUAGCAACACUUGAUUUUGUCAAUGCCUUGGAACAACAUCCUUCACUCUUCUUCUCGAUCAUGUGCUACACUGAGACUUAAGCUGACAGCUGAUGCUAUGGAGAACAUCUUCCACGUGCAGUUCAGUCAGCCUGGUAGCACCAACCAUCAGGAGGAGGCCAGGGUGCUGAGCUACUGGCGAGAUUAUCUGCUCUACCUGGAAGAAAAAGAGGCUAGUCCUUCCUUGGAAGACGUGCUUAUGUUUGGGACUGGACUGAAAGAAGUUCCUCCUGCAGCAAUACAGCCUCAGCCAAAGCUAGUUUUUCAAAAGAGCUCACGCUUUCCCAUGGCAAAUGUAUGUACAAAUACAAUCAAAAUUCCAAUCUUACCCAGUUAUGAAGAGUUUCAAGAAGCCAUGGAUUACGGCAUGCAAAAUUCCCCUGGGUUUGGUCUUCCUUGAAUCUAAACAUCUUUCUCUGAUAUACUGUGGUUUAGGUACGAGUUUUAUUGAAAUGUUGCAAAUGUGCCAAUUUGUUCUUUCCUAUUUUAAGAUGCAGGCAUGUUUGUAUAAGUAAUGUUUAAAGCUACACUUAUGUUAUAGUUGAACAUUUCAAGCCACUCAGUUAAAAAAGGAACACUCAGUUUAAUAUUUUUGAUUGUACUGAUAUACUGGUGAGUUUUAAGGAAAAAUAGGUUUUAUUUUGAGAGACAUUUUUGAUCAAGGAUCAAUAUUUUAUAUUUUUUCACAGAAAUGCACACAACUUUAGACUUUAUAUACUGUCAAUCAUUGAUGUACAGUAAAACAUUGAUGAUUUAUGCAGUGAGCAAAUAAAGUUGU